GGGCCCGUAGCUCAACUGGUGAGAGCACCGGACUCAUAAUCCGUCGGUUGCGGGUUCGAGCCCCGCCGGGCCCA
rnacentral:tRNA from 1 species